UGAAUUGCCUAGGUUGAUCUCAAACUCCUGGGCACAAAGGAUUCUCUUGCCUCAGCAUCCUGAGUAGCUGAAAAUAGCUACCAUAUCUAGCUGUGGUUAUUUUACCUAUAGAGAGAAAAGCACACACUAAAUGAAAAGUUUGCUCAAGCUUCUAGUAAGCCUGCUCACUUUCCAUACCACACAGUACAUGAAACUUUUAACUUAGCUUUUCUUUCUCUCCCACCCGCAACUCUCCCCAUUCUCUCUCUCCCCCCAUCCCUAGCUUUUAGAAAUGAACAGGUUGGUGUGGUCUAAAGGGAGAAAGAGGCACAGAAACAUAGCUGAGACAGUGAAAAAAGAACGUAAAUGAACAAAUUGGAACACCUGUCGCAACUGUGAAGUAGACAGGGAGCAGCAUUUUUAAAGAUACUUGGAUAUACAUUUAUACUUCUCCAGAGCACAUUAUGUACCAAGUCUUUCCCGGGAUUGUGGAUUCUGUGAUACUUGAACUAUUGGGUAAGUUCUUGAACUAUGAUCAGCCAGAUGUUGGAGAUCAUUCUGCCUGAUUCCCAGCCCUGAAGACAAAAGUGAUGUCUCCGUAAACUCUGGAGGAGAAACCCUCAAGGUGUGCGGGCACCAGUCUCACCCCAUACCAAAAAGGCACAGAGCCCGCACCAGUCAUUCAAACCUGUGGAGGGUUAAGGACAAAGAGGAGCAAAGGGUACAAUAUUCCCAGAACUGCCCUUUCGGUGAAGCUAGUUUCCAGUUGCUUACUGUAAAUUUGUGUUUUUAUAAACAGCAAAAUGCCUGAAGGAGGCUCCAUCUGGACUAAGACUGACCACUUCAGAGAAUGUAGGAAAAACGCAAAGAGGGACUUCAGUAGCCAUUCAAUUCACACCUCUUUUUUCUCUUUUUUACUAUCUUUCUGUCUCCGUCUCUCAUUGACUUGACCUUCAUCAUAUGCAUUGCACCUUUUGCGUAAGUUUAAAAAUGCAUAUAUAGUAUUUUCAUAGUUAACUUUGUGCAAUAAAUACAUUCAUCAUUCACUUUAUAUAUGAUCCCAGGCAGUGUGUGUGCACGUGCAUGUGUGCUGGGGAUGGAACCCAGGGCCUUCACAUGUUAGGCAAGUGCUGUCCUCCUGAGGGACACCUCCACCCACCCAGGGAAUUUUGAACCCCAAGCCGCACUCUUUCUUGUUACACAGAAUACCUUCCUGUGAUCCACUUACUGAAGUUCAGUCAGUUAAAAAUUAUUUAAAUGUUACCCUAAAUAAAAUAAAUGUAUAUAGGCAAGCUUACCGUCCUUGAAAAUCACACAGUGCAUCUAAAAACCAGAUGUUAGAAUUUAUCUCCUGUAUUGAAGAUUGCAUUGAUUUGGGUAAUUAAAAGAUGCACUUAUUGGGUCCGAGAUUUAGCUCAGGGGUUCUGGCACCUGCCUCCCAAGCGCAAGGUCCUGAGUUCAAUCCCCGGUACCCACCCCCCGCCCUGAAAAAAAAGGUACGUGUAUUUCAUCAAUAGAUUUCUUUUUAGUUUUGAUUUCUAAAGUAAUUCAUCUGAACAUUUGACUUUUCCAGAUGAUAGGCUGUUUAAAAAGAUUUGAUAUGAACCUAUGAUAUUCAUGUAAGUCUUUAAGAGAGAGGUGUUGUUCUAAAAUUCUGUAAAUAUAGUAAAUUAGGUAUUCUUUUGUUCAAAAUAAAAAUGUAAACCUUUUAUGCUUGCUUCACUCCUGAAUACAGCACCUUCACAGGCUUGAACUAGCAGAAAGGAAAAUGACACAUCCAGAAAUUAUCUGAAAACUUGCAAUACUUUGGAGAAAUGUGUGUCUGUAUUAUCAUAAUUCUUGUACAUUUUCUGCCAUGUGCUAGGUGCCAACAAUACAUGAAGUAAUGUAAUCCCCCUUAUAUUUAUGACUUCAUUAUGUAUAAAUGUCUUUGUGAACCCACUGAACAACAGUAAGAUUUUUUUCUUUCAGUGAUAAUUUAUUGUUGAUGCCUCGUAAAUGCAGAGUAAUCCUAACUAAUAUAAAUAAUGUAAACUAUCUUAAUUAAAAUCCUUGGUUAUAAAGAAACUCUAUACAUUCAGCACAAAAGUCUGGGUGCAUACCAAAUUCAAACUGCUUGCAGACAUAAAAGCAGACAGAAGGUUAAAUCUCACUCCAGAAAUUUACUUUGCCCUGAGGGAUCACAUGCAACUCAGGAAGUUGCUUCUCUUACAAAGAACUAGCAUUUCUGCUUAAGACUAAAAUGAUUAUUUUUAAAGUACCCAUUUUACAAUGCAAAUGUGUAUCUAAAUUAAACUCAGUAAAAAUAAGCACUUUAAAUUGAAUCUGCAGUAAUGACUUUAUGGGAGACAAUAGAAAAAGUGGUUCUCGAAUAUCAACUAUGAGAAAACAGAUUUCAAAACCCUCCUAGAGGUCUGGAAGCUUUCUUUGUUCUGUGUAUGAUAAUGUAUUGGCCUGUGUUUAACUGAGAACCCAUUGCUCUGAAGUUAUUUUGUAAAACCGAGGCUGUUCGUGAAGGCUACAGCAAAAAAGAAAAGGUAGAUCAAAACAGCAACAACAAAAGAAACUGGUGAUCAGUCUCCAGUGCCAAGCCAUGCCUUAGCAUUUCAAAUAUGGACAGGUGCAGGGAACGGACUCUAAGACAGCAGCAACGAGAGACUGAGUUACAAAGACACAUUCACAAUAGGCACUUUAGUCAGACACAAAUGACGAUAUUCUAUAGAGAGACCUGGGAGGGGUUACAUGACAGUUGGAAGGCUGUGACAAUGUAGGGUAAUUGAAGAGCAGUAAAGAGAAGGGAAGUGGUUUGGGGAAGAGGCAGUGGUGGUAGAGAUGGAACAUGAAGUGACAAAGUAAAGGAAGCAGAGAUGCUAAUAUUCUUUGCUGGGCUCUGCUCAUCUAUGCCACUAUUCUUUGUCAAACCAUGUCUCAUUAAUUGUCCAUAAAUAAUGCCUUAUGGAGCAGCCCAAAAGUAAAGAGGACUAGAAUAUACUUGUGGAAUGGUGGCCACUCCUUUGGGAGUUGUCCUUGGCAGAGUUACUUUUGCUUCCCCUCCCUUUUUGCCUGGCAUUCUAAAUUCUAAAGCAAAGCCUCGCCUAAAUGAUUAAGAUGUUAAACACUAAAUAAUCUUCCUUUAGAUUUACAGAACCUAGACCCUCUGGUGACCUUCAGAUAACAAUGGAAUAUGUAACGCCUCUUCUUAUUCUUUAAUCCUGUAUAUUAACUAACAUAAAGCACAUAAAUUGCUAUGCACUUCAACUUGCAAAAAAGUAAAAUGUCUAAAGAAAAUAUGGGAACCAGCUCCAAAAGGUCAAGGUCAGUUGCAGUAUUCCAGCUUGGGAGGGGUGGAGACACACCCCCUCUGUGAUGAAGACUCCACCCAACAAGUGACCUUUCUACCUACUGUGCCACUGCAUCUGUCUUUUCUCUCUACAAAUGUCCUUUCACGUGCCUGAGACCCCAAAUGUGGUGCUUUGAGGAUGAUAGCCCACUCCAUUUUCUUAGGGCUGGCCCUGGAAUAAGCCUGAUUUUGUUCCCACCAAUUUGUCUCCAGAGUAUUGGCUUUUGAGUGAUAUUUAGGCCAUGCUGAAACUAGAAGAAAAAAACUCUCAUGGGCCCAGUGGUACAUGACUAUAGUACCAGCUACUCCAGAGACUGAGAAAAAGUCCAUGAUCUCAAUUGAACUGCAUAGACAAGCUAAGAAUAUAAUGGAAGGAAUUAUUUCUGAAUUUUCAAGUAUAGUUUCAACUAAAGACAUAAGUCAUUGGUGGAUAAAAAUGAAGAUGCCUCCAAGCAAGAGACGUUUUCCCUUUCUGCAGAUUCUUUUAAGACAAUAGGGUCCUAAUAGCAAUAAAUCUGAUGCAGAGGAAUUGAUAAAACUAUAUAUAGGUGCAUUCUGUGACUAUGAGAAAUAAAAGAUU